ACUCGAGUGGCGAACGGGUGAGUAACACGUGGGUGAUCUGCCUUGCACUCUGGGAUAAGCUUGGGAAACUGGGUCUAAUACCGGAUAGGAACCGUCUUUAGUGUGGUGGUUGGAAAGUUUUUUCGGUGCAAGAUGAGCUCGCGGCCUAUCAGCUUGUUGGUGGGGUAAUGGCCUACCAAGGCGUCGACGGGUAGCCGGCCUGAGAGGGUGUACGGCCACAUUGGGACUGAGAUACGGCCCAG
rnacentral:rRNA from 1 species